rnacentral:tRNA from 1 species
UCCUCCUUAGCUCAGUUGGUAGUAGCGCAUGACUGUUAAUCAUGAUGUCGCAGGUUCGAGUCCUGCAGGAGGAG